rnacentral:lncRNA from 1 species
UUCAUCUUUAUUUAUUUUUUUGGAUUAAUUGCAUAUAGGUCCCUACAAAUAUAGUAAAUUACAAAUAUUUUUCUACAAACUUUAAUUUUUAUAUAUUAUUCCUGUAAGUUCUAAUAUUUUCAAAUAUCUUCCUACUGUUAUGAUCCAUUAGAAAAUUUUAGUUAACCAUAGAUUAAAUACUUAACUCUAAUUAAUUAAUGAGGUAAUUUGUCAUUUUUACUCUUCUUAUAUUAUACUUUCUUCUCUCAAUCAAAACCCUAGCAAUGAAAAUUCUUCUUCUUUCUCUUCCUCUCUCUACUUCAUGGUAAUUUCGAACUUAUAACUAGAAUUUCUCAAUCUCCAUUCAUCCAAGAUGCGUGGUGCUUUGCCCAUAUCAAAUGCGUGUUGCUUUCCCCAUUUAAUUUUCUCUAUAAUCUUUUUCUCAAAAAAAGAUUUAGAAAAAAAAGAGUGAGAAAAAAGUUGCAAUAAUAGUGAAAUGGGUUGGAUUUUAAAAAGAAAGAAGAUGAGGAAGAAGAUGACCAUUGAAAAUUUUUUGAGGGGACAUUUCUGUACGAUUAUAGCUAUUGUGGCUUUUGAAGGAAUAAAUUUAUGAUGGCAAAAUUAAUAUUUCACUUAUCUGCUAUUAAAAUAUAAACAGUUCUCUAACGAUAACAAACCAUAGUGUCAUAUUUAAAAAUAUUAAAACUUUUGUAGAAACAACGUAUAAAAGUUGAACUUUAUAAGACAUUAUUUACAAUUCACUAUAAUUGUAGGGACCUAUAUCCAAUUAACCCUAUUUUCUUUAUUGAAACUCCUUUAAUAUUGGAAUAAUAUCUAAUA